UACUCUGAGUACGGGCUUCUGUGCGGUGCAGACGGGCUACCACACCUGAUAGUGAACGGAGACCAGAGGCAUUGGGGAGAGUUUAUAACACCAUGACUUUUGUUCCUGUGCAUCGCGGGAUGGAUCGGGUGGGUGGGGAGAACCUAGAAGUGGGAACAGCGCAGAGGAUAAGGAUACGCCAGUAGCACGGGUAGAAGAUUCCGCGGCAGAGAUAGAGCUUACGGGCUCUUGACUAACAUUUUGGAGAAGAAACCAUUUCUGAUAGCAUGGCGACAAUGAUGACAGAGAUAUAAAGACUAAGUAUUGUGUCUGGGACAGUUUCAACACAAGAUGAAACGCAUCACUAUACUAGGAGAUCGUUGGCUACCCUGAUUUUCCAGUCACAGAAGGGAACUCCGAACCCUUGAGAUGGGAUUCCCGGUGUAUCUGAUUUUGUUCACGGUAAAAAAUGGGCUAGGAGAUGAGAUUCUUUUGAGAGGUCUCUGACUAUCCGUGUGAAGUCACCAUUCUCGCCUUCGGACCUCUGAUCAGUCUUGCAAUACUUAGCCCAUCAAGCAUGAAAGUUCAUUAGCCAGUAAGGUGAAGAUGAUUGUUAUACUUGGUGGAGUUUCUUUGCAUUAGGGAAUAUCAAUCCCCCAGCUGAAGCAAAUAUACAACACCCUCUGAACCUCUUAUUUAAUCUUCUAUCAAUGAAAGAAUGCAGGUUUCAUGUUUUGUGGGGUUUCCCCUUUCUAUGCAGAUGUAUAGUCACUUGGAAGCAGCUGAUGUUUGGGUUCAUGUCUGGAGCUAAUAUCACUGACAUCACUACCCAACUUAAACAAACAGGAGUGUUACCUCCAUAACCCUGUGAGCUUUCUGGAAGCAGUACAGCCUGAUCUAUUCAAAUAUAAGAAAUGGGUUGUUUGGGUGGGACUCAGGGAAUAUGCGUCGGCCAUAGGCUCAUGGAUCAAGCCCUCAAGAGGUCUUAUUAUAUGGACUUUAAGCUUCAGAGAAAAAGAAAGAAUUGUAGAUGGAACGGAAGCAAUCUAUGGGUGAGAUUUUCACCAGUGUUUGUGGCGUGGACAAUAGAUGUAGACAAAUUUGGAAUGUAUCUGAUGAAGCUUAAUUUGAAUCUUAAUUCAAG